rnacentral:rRNA from 1 species
GACGAACGCUGGCGGCGUGCCUAAUACAUGCAAGUCGAACGAGAGCGACCGGUGCUUGCACUGGUCAAUCUAGUGGCGAACGGGUGAGUAACACGUGGGUAACCUGCCCAUCAGAGGGGGAUAACAUUCGGAAACGGAUGCUAAAACCGCAUAGGUCCUUUAACCGCAUGGUUGAAGGAGGAAAAGAGGCGCAAGCUUCUGCUGAUGGAUGGACCCGCGGUGCAUUAGCUAGUUGGUGAGGUAACGGCUCACCAAGGCCGUGAUGCAUAGCCGACCUGAGAGGGUGAUCGGCCACAUUGGGACUGAGACACGGCCCAAACUCCUACGGGAGGCAGCAGUAGGGAAUCUUCCGCAAUGGACGCAAGUCUGACGGAGCAACGCCGCGUGAGUGAAGAAGGUUUUCGGAUCGUAAAACUCUGUUGUUAGAGAAGAACAAGUGCUAGAGUAACUGUUAGCGCCUUGACGGUAUC